CAUCAGCUCUUCAUCAUGGCCUGGUCUCUGCUCUUGGCCUUCUUCUUCUUAUGGUGCCCAGGAGCCAACUCACAGUAUACCUUGACUCAACCUGCGGCACAAUCGUUUCCCCCAGGACAACCAGCAAAGAUCUCAUGUACCAUGAGCCGAGACACCCAAGUGGGCAGCUAUAACAUAUAUUGGUACCAACAGAAGGCUGGAGAGAGCCCCAAAUACCUUCUCUAUGAUAGCAACAGCAACGGACGAUUCACGGGAUCCAAGGACACCUCGGCCAAUGUAGCCUAUUUAACCAUUACAAACCUCCACGCUGAGGAUGAGGCCGAUUACUAUUGUGGUGGUACUUACGGCAGUGGCAGCACCUGGAGGUAUCACAGUGAUACUCUCACAUGCAGAAGAGCCAACUCACAGUAUACCUUGACUCAACCUGCAGCACAAUCGUUUCCCCUGGGACAACCAGCAAAGAUCUCAUGUACCAUGAGCCGAGACACCCAAGUGGGGAGCUAUAACAUAUUUUGGUACCAACAGAAGGCUGGAGAGAGCCCCAAAUACCCUCUCUAUGAUACUGGCAUGAAUAGCCGAUUCACGGGGUCCAAGGACACCUCGGCCAAUGCAGCCUAUUUAACCAUUGCAAACCUCCAGGCUGAGGAUGAGGCCGAUUACUAUAUGGCUGGUGCUUACAUCAGUGGCAGCAACUGGUGGUAUCCAUAG